rnacentral:rRNA from 1 species
UACGUAGGGGGCAAGCGUUGUCCGGAAUCAUUGGGCGUAAAGAGCGCGUAGGCGGCCCAGUAAGUCCGCUCUGAAAGUCAGAGGCUCAACCUCUGAAUGCGGGUGGAUACUGCUGGGCUAGAGUCCGGAAGAGGCGAGUGGAAUUCCUGGUGUAGCGGUGAAAUGCGCAGAUAUCAGGAGGAAUACCGGUGGCGAAGGCGGCAUCCUGGACCGGCAUUGACGCUGAGGAGCGAAAGCAUGGGGAGCGAACAGG